UACGAAGGGGGCUAGCGUUGCUCGGAAUUACUGGGCGUAAAGGGCGCGUAGGCGGCACUGUUAGUCAGGCGUGAAAGUCCUGGGCUCAACCUGGGAACUGCGCUUGAUACGGCAGAGCUAGAGGAUGGAAGAGGGUCGCGGAGUUCCCAGUGUAGAGGUGAAAUUCGUAGAUAUUGGGAAGAACACCGGUGGCGAAGGCGGCGCCCUGGUCCAUUACUGACGCUGAGGCGCGACAGCGUGGGGAGCAAACAGG
rnacentral:rRNA from 1 species